ACUGAUUUGAGUAAUAAUAAAACUCCAGUCUCCUGCACAGGCUGCUCUGCAUAAAUUACUCUUUCUCUAUUGCAAUUCCCAUGUCUUGAAGAAUCAACUCUGUCUAGGCAGCAGGCAAGGUGAACCCCUUGGGCGGUUACAAAACUAGAAGAGAAAUGAAUGCGGGGCUGUGGCUAUCAGGGCAGUAAUAAAAUGUGAUGGGAGUCCUUUGCCAAUCUUUAUUCAGUUUACCUAACUGUGAGCUUUCAUUUCUAGCUCUGCUCCCAAAGCAACGGACCAUAUUACAAGUUACUUACAUUAGUAAACAAACUACGUUAAUCUAUAAACUAAUUAAAACAUAUUGUAAUGAUUUCCCAGUGAUAUUCUUUAAUAAUUUUCAUUUGGAUAUUGAAAAUGAAAAUCAUGCAUCCCACCCAGCCCUUCAGGAAUGCUGAAGGCCAGAGCAGCUCACGGGUUAUAGAUUUUGCAUCUGUAAGAGACAGGAGCACCUCAGCGUUCACCUUCAGCCUAAACCUCUGCAUAGAGAACUACCGGACCUUAGCAACAGCAAUGUAAUAUCUUCUCACCUGAAAGAGAGAGAAAACCCAUAUUCAGGGCAUCGGGGAAUAAAGAGAACCAAACAGGUCCUCUCUCCCAAGUUCUUUGAGGACCUCAAGAGUCAAGAAGAGGGUUUUGAAGAUAACGGCUGUUCUACGGAUGGGCUUCUGCAGAACAAACAUGGGCCAUUGUGCUUGACCCCCCUCCGGACAGCCACCCUGAGUUGGUAAGGACGUGAUCAGGUGAGGAAGGGGGAGAGGAAGCAAUGAGCAAGGGUUUGAGUUGGUCAAAUCCUUCCAGCAAGUUCCCAUGCAAGUGUUCUUGCCACAGAGGCCUGUUAAAGGCCUGCUGGUGCUCAGGGGACAUUGCCUCCCAGACAUCUCCAAGGGCUACCCCAAAAACCCCUAGCCAAAGAUCCCAGCUCACCUCAGCCCCCAGUCUCUCCCAGAUCUGGUUUCUAGUUUAUAAGGUAAAGCUCUCAUCCUGGGCUUUUAGGAAGGGCCUCCAAGAGGAGACUCACCUGGGCCCUUCCCUCCCCCUCAUCUCCCAGGGAGGGAAGGGGUAUGGGGUAUGUCUUGAAGCAUAUUUUGCUUUUGUUUCUGGGUUUGUUUUUUGUUUUUUGAGAAGGAGACUCACUCUGUCACCAGGCUGGAGUGCAAUGGUGCAAUCUCGGCUCACUGCAACCUCCGCCUCCUGGGUUCAAGCGAUUCCCCUGCCUCAGCCUCCCAAGUAGCUGGGACUACAGGAGUGCACCACCAAGCCAGGCUAAUUUUUCAUAUUUUAGUAGAGACGGGGUUUCACCAUGUUGGCCAGGAUGGUCUCGAUCUCCUGACCUCAUAAUCUGCCCACAUCGGCCUCCCAAAGUGCUGGGAUCAUAGGCAUGAGCCACUGCGCCCAGCCUGAGGCAUAUUUUUUAAUCAACUGUCACCUGUCUUCACCUUGCCUUCCACUUCCAGGUCAUGAUUUUAAACUAUAGACAACCAGGGGAAAAGAUACCUAGGCCAGAGUGGAUACAAAAUCCUCCAACAGUGAGUGACAAAGACCCUUGAGAAAGAAGAGCCUGGAGAAGGAGGAGGCCACAGAGGCAUACAUUUCCCCACCCGGGACCCAACAGUCCUCCCACAGGCCUGUGUGUUUCUGAUUUGGUGACUGUUCAGGAGACCCAAGGUUGAGUCUUGGGAAGAGCAUCAUGAAGGCCACUGGGAGGCUGGGACCUGGCCCCUGCUGUGCAGUCCUUACCUGAUUCGCUUCCUUCUGAUGCACAAAGGAAGGCAGAAUCUAGCACCUUGGGAGCCAGAGUCAUAGAACUGGCCAGGACCUGACCAGCUACUGCCUGUGCCCUGUAGCCAAAGACCCCCAGGAACAAAAUUGGAUUUUUUAAUUUGUUGCAGUGGGGGAGUCUGUCUGUGAUGAGGAACCAUGGGGUGUCUCGACAUGAUUAAAGGAUGGUCUUGGUUUUGCCAGCCCGUCUGAUGCUGGCAAUCUGUGAGAUAGGCUGUGGUUCAGCAGAAAAACAUUACAGCCCAGCCGUGAGCACCUGGCCAGUAAGAGCCAGCUGUCAGGGACUACUUUCCUCUUUCUGGCUACAAAGGCGAAGCCUCAGUCCUUAAGUUUCAGCCUGCUCUGUAUCCCAGACUCAUAUCUUCAUGUUGAAUAAUGAUCAUCACAUUUGAAGAGGAAGAAGAGGAGGGAUAGACAAGAACAAGGAAGCAGUUCUCCUAGAAGCAGAGGCCAAGAAGGAAUUAAACAUACAAGAGAUUGAUUAAGGGAAAUAUCUGUGAAGGAUAAAGGCGGAAGAGAGCAGAAAAAAAACCCUAUACAAAUGUGACUUAAACUAUAUACUGCUGUCAAACUGGUAAGCAGCUCCAAAGGGGAUGCUGGAUCACCGGAGAUGUUAGGAGCCCUACACUGAGAGCAUGGAAACCUGGAUUCCACCUCUGCUUACUUUGUCUUUAUCAGCGGUACUCAGAGAUGCAGAUAGCUUUGUCCUCAACUGUAGGACAUGGAUAUAAACACGAAGUUACGGCCAGGCGCGGUGGCUCACUCCUGUGAUCCCAGCCCUUUGGGAGGCAGGCAGAUCACCUGAGGUCAACAGUUCAAAACCAGCCUGGACAACAUGGUGAAACACUAUCUCUACUAAAAAUACAAAAAUUAGCCAGGCAUGGUGGCCCGUGCCUGUAAUCUCAGCUACUUGGGAGGCUGAGGCAGGAGAACUGCUUGAAGCCAGGAGGUAGAGGUUACAGUGAGCCAAGAUUGCACCAUUGCACUCCAGCCUGGAUGACAGAGUGAGACUCUGUCUGGAAAAAAAAAAAAAGAAAGAAAGUACAAUGUUAACUGUAUGUAAGCCCCCAGUUGGGCUCCAUCCACCUCCACCCAGCUCUGUGCCCUGGGAGUCUGACCAGACUGCAUUGCCUGGACCCAUGGCUAGCUGGCUUCCAGCUGGCUUCCCCGAGUGGAAAGCACCUGCAAGAGUUAAGAGGUUGUACAGAGGCAGGUGCUGGGCUGUUUCCUCCCAGUCUCCUCUGUGUGCUUUGCUGCAUUUUCUGUCUAUGGCUAUGUCCUCCACUGAGAGAUCUCUUAUUGCGUAGACCAGCUAUGGCUCCAGCAGCAUUAUUUGCUCCUGUGGCCUUCUGCCUGACAGGGUACUUCCCGCUGUGGCCAGCCUCUGAAUGCCUUAAUAUCCCUUGUCGUUUUGCUGAAUAGUACCCAGAGCUGUGUAAGCAUGGGAAGCCCUCACUUUGCACAGUAGUCUAGGACUGUAAAAUGGCCAUGUAAGCUGAAACCAUGCAAAACAAUCUUAAUAAUCAAUGGGGAAGAUGACGAUUGUCCUCUGACCUUUCAAAAAUGUUUGUCAAAACAUUAAACUUUCUUACUGUCAGUAAGAGAAAAAGUCGCAAAAAUUGAUAUUAAAUACACUAAUUGAAAACAUUAGAAA